UUGGCCUGCCGGGACCCAAGUCACCAGGUCCCGCCGGCCAGUCGGAGACUCCGCGCCCCAGCUUGCCUGAUCUCAUCCUCCGAGGACGAUGGGAACGCUGACAUCCCUAGCAGCACCAUCAAGCUGGGAGGAAGGUGGACAUGCGCCAUCAGGGAAAAAGCCUUACGGGAGGGUGAUUUGGGUUUGGUGCGGGACCUUGAUUGCUUUGCGGCGCCAGUCAUUAUGAACCGAGGGACGGAACCGUGAUGGGAGCACAUUCCCUACACCGAGGUGAAGGAGUUGAAAAAGACGGCCACGGACUAUGGCUGCAAUUCACCAUAUUUAAAAAAUGUUCUAGAUCUAACUUUUACUGGACACACCUUAAUUCCCCAUGACUUACAAUAUGUUACUACCGCAUUGCUCUCUCCCACUGAAUUUUUACUAUGGGAAAUGCAAUGGAAAAAGCUGUUGAAGCCCAUUCUUUCCAAAUGUGAUUUAGGUGCUGUGCUGGGAGAAGGGGAAGAAGGCCUUGAAGCUUUGGCGGGGGAGGGGGAGUUCUCUAGUUUGGAAGACCAGGUCAUGUUACCUGCUGCUGUCUUAGAUGACAUCAAAACUGCUGCAAAAAGUGGUCUUUUAAAAAUACCUGACAGAACUACCCCCCUCUAAAACUUUUCUUUGAUCCAUCAAGGGAUUGAAGAGAUAUUUAUUAAAUUUGUCGACCACGUCCGAGAGGCCAUUGAACGCCAGAUAGACAAUGUUGAUGCCAGGGAUGAGCUCUUGAGGAAAAUGGCAAUGUCCAACGCCAACGUGGAAACAAAAAAUAUCCUUAGAGCUCUCCCGCAGGAGCCCGAGCCAACCAUACCACAGAUGGUGGAUGCAUGCACCAAGGCCUCCUCUCUAGAAAACACCUGGGCCUUGGCUGUCAGUAAGGGAGUCGGGGAGGCAGUGGUGAACAUAAACAAUGUCAGGUGUUUUAACUGUGGCCAAUUAGGCCAUUUCCAAGGUAACCGUCCUCAUUUGCCCCCCGGACAUUUUAAUUCACCCUCUGUGCCUUCACCAAGAAUGCCCAGAAACCACCAAUCCCUAUUUGCCCCAGACAUUUUAAUUCCCCCUAUGUGCCUUUGCCAAGAAUGCCUGGAAACCACCAAUCCCCAUACCAUCCGGGAAACGGGUGGCAGAGCGCGUGGCAGCUCCACGCGGAGACACCAAAUGGCAGGCCGUAUCACCAAAGUCUCCCGACCAUCCAGGAGACCCAGUUCCCGGACAGCUCAUUUCCCAGGAUCGGAGCCAUGAAGAAGGACUCAGGCCCUUCAGGAGAACCCGCAACGUAAACCAAGACACUGGUAGGAUUUUAUACAGCUGCAUCCACCUGUUUUUCAUCGACGAGGAUCUGGUAAGGUCUCUGCAGGGUACCUGGGUCCCUCUUACCAUGACCGCAGCACCACCGUGUUCCUCCUCGGAGACUCUCGCAUUACACCGCACAAACUUACCGUCCUCCCCGAGGUGGUGACCAUCGAUCCUGGAAAUGAAAUCACUGGUUCUGUAAUGUGUUAUAACCCACCCUAUACCCUGUGCAAAGGGUCCCCCUUUGCUCAAAUGUAUAUUUUAUCCGGACAAGACUAUCCAAAUGAUGACAAGGAUGUCCAUGUUUAUUACUCUAAGAAUUUCAGUAGGCAAAGACCACCUAUCUCCUCUGUUAUAUCCCAAAAAGGGUGAUUCGUCGAACUGGACGUGAUGGCAGACACCGGUACAGAUAUUACCAUUCUUCACAGGGCAGAGUGGCCUCGCGACUGGGAGUUCAUGUCCCCUUGUGGCACAAUUUCUGGCAUCAGGGAAGCUGUCAAUUCCUUGCGAAGCAAGCAUCAGGUAAGCGUGGAAGGGUCUGAGGGGCAGAUUGUCACCACUUGGCCAUUUGUUGUUUCUUCUAACAUCAGAUUACUUGGAAGGGAUGUUUUGUCCCAGUGGGGAGCCUGCCUCAAUAUCCCUGACCCCAAGUGGGAUUUUUAGUAUGGGCCACUGCAGAGUGCACAGCCUCACCUCUCAAUUGGAAGACCAACACACCAGUGUGGGCGGAUCAGUGGCCCCUCCCAGAAGAAAAAUUGACCGUGCUCCAUGAAUUAGUUGAGGAGCAAUGGUGCCUGGGGCACCUUGUACCAUCCACCAGUCCCUGGAUCACCCCUGUCUUUGUUACUAUAAUCCUGGCAAAGACAAGUGGCGCUUGCUCCAAGACCUACGUAAGGUCAAUGAGGUUGUCAAGGCUAUGGGCCCCCUACAACCUGGCCUCCCUUCUCCCUCCAUGCUUCCCCCGGGAUUUGCAGCUCACGAUCCUUGAUAUCAAGGAUUGCUUUUUGAACAUCCCGCUGUACCCCGGAGAUGUUCCCAGGUUUGCAUUCUCUGUUCCAUCUGUCAGCCAUGGAGAACGCUUCAAAAGAUAUCACUGGGUCACUUUGCCCCAGGGAAUGAAAAAUUCCCCCGUGCUCUACCAAACUUUUGUCACACAAGUGUUGUCUCCUGUGUGCAAGAUGCUCCUAGAAGCUAUAAUCUUACACUACAUGGACAACGUACUAAACUUAGACUCAGCACUAUCCAACACUGUGGCAGCAAUCGAAAACAGGAUUUCAGAUAGCUGAGGACAAAAUUCAGCUAUCGAGCCCAUGGAAGUACCUCGGGUUUUUAAUCACGGGAAGGACCAUCAUGCCCCAAAGCUUGUCCAUCAACGAACAUCCUAAGACCUUAAGAGAUAGGCAACAGCUGUGCAGUAUCAUCACGUGGAUCCGACCUUUCCUGGUCUUCACCACAAAGGAGCUGGCACCGCUCAUCGACUUUCUGCAGGGAGAUGGCGACCUGGCUUCCCCACGCUCGAUCACACUGGAAGUCCAUGAGGCCUUGGAGAAAGUUGCUGAUGCCAUCAAGCACUGCCAGGCACAUCGGAUCGACCGGUCCCUUCCCCUCAAUCUUGGUAUUUUUUUGCUCAAACAGUCUAUACCUGAUUCAUUUGAGAAGCAGAUGCCCACUCCCAGGACACCCCAAAACAUCUUAAGAGCGGCCACCACCAUCACUGCCCUCCUGUGCAUCCAAACAUCGGUCGGAUGGGUCGUGCCACAACCGAAAGAAAAUGUAUAGAUCACACUAGUGAAAUCUCUCAAACAAGAUAAUUUUUGCAUGGCCAUGGGAAGCGUAGAAGACCUGCUGUCUACAUGUCUGGAGGGAAUCCCCCUGUCACCAAACGAGUACCCAUAGACAGACCUCUUGGUGGACAAAGAAACCACCAGACAUGCCACCCUCCAGAACAGAGCGGCAGUCGACUUCCUGCUGCUCGCCCAUGGCCAUGGUUGUGAGGAUUUUGAAGGACUUUGUGGUUUUAACCUUUGUUCAAGAAGCACGUCGAUCCGAGCCAACAUCAAGCAAAUGCAAGACCAAAUGAAUACUCUUCUUACUGAUAAGAAGGUUGUGGACAUGAUGGACAAAACACUUAUGCAAUGGGGCGUUCCUGGGAGAGUGGCCCCCAUUCUUAAGAGUUUACAGUGGGUCUUUCUCAUCCUUGCUGUACUCUCAACAGCACUGAAGUGUUUUAAGAAAACCAGAGACAAAACUUUAGGAAAUGUUUAUUUAAUAAAUAAAAAGGGGGAAGAUGUGGGAGAUAGUCAUGGGAAUGAUGGGGCUGGAAUGCCCUGGGAGGACAGUGCUGUUUAGUUAGAGGCUGGCACAAAUCCCCAGGAGUCUCUGGUUGUUAAUGUGCUGUUGUCACUCAACUGCUGUUCAUCCCCCUGUUCUAGAGAGUUCUGUGCCCCCUCUUCCCCCACUGGCUUUCCCUGGGAAACCACCCCCACUCUGCUCCCUCAUUGGUGGACCCCAGUCACCCCAUUUCAACUCCUCCCCCGACUCCCUUCCCCAUUGCAUUAUUUGUACCCUGACCCCUCCUACCUUCCCCCAGUGAUAUACCCUGGCCUAUCCCCUGCUGGUUACUCUUGGCCCCUGGUUAUCCUCAGCAGAGGUUGUGCUCCUGUUUGUUCUCCUCACCCUCACCCCACCUGGACCCCUGGAUCUUCCCUAAACAAACCCUGCUGGAUCUGCCAAGCCAAGAGUGCCCUCGUCUGUCUGAGACUCCUGAAACUUAUGUUGGUUUGAUGUGACCAACAGAAGAGUUUGGCUCUGCUUUUAAUUGAAACAAGCAGCAGAGCUGGAACCUGUUGAAGAGAGUCUCUUCACAGCUAAAGGAAACUGCCAGGGUUCUUUUUUUCCAGCUCUGGGCAGGAAAAUAAAAAUCUCUCCGCAGUAAAUACUCCUGACCAGUAACUGAUAUAAACUAGGCAUUUGGGCUGUUUGCUGCCUCACCCCUGAGU